rnacentral:tRNA from 1 species
GACUUCGUAGCUCAAGUGGCUAGAGCGUUGGCCGCACUACCGACUUCCCUUUGCUGGCGUGGGUUCGAAUCCCACCGAGGUCA